rnacentral:lncRNA from 1 species
CGCCAUUGUCGCGGUCUUGAUUGCAUCUGUUACUUUCACAUGCGGUUUAAACCCACCUGGUGGGGUCUAUCAAGAAGGAUUCUCCAUUGGGAAAUCAACCGCGGGGAAAACCAUAGCUUUCAUGAUCUUCUGGAUAAGCAAUAGCAUAGCGUUGUUUACAUCAGUGAGUAUGGUCAUUCUUCUCCUCAGCAUUAUACCUUACAGGGAGGACUCGCUUUUAAAGUUCUUGGUUAUAGCUCACUGGAUGAUGUGGGUGGCUGUAGCAGCCAUGGCAAGUGCUUAUGUCUCCGCGGCAUUGGUAACUUUACCUCAUUUUGGAGAAACCAAUUGGUUAAUAAUCUAUGCCACUGUUGCUAUUGCUAGCUUGACGCUAGGCGGUAUGUUUGUUUAUCUACGGUUUAAUCUGGCUAAAUGCAUGUUUAGGAAGGUUACGCUUCUUAAAUGCUUGUCUACUCCGCCAGUACGCAAGAAUGGAUACGUAGACAUGGCGGCCAAUAUCGAGAAAGGCUACUACUCUUACUGCUGAAUUUAUGUUUUUAAUAUAUAGGAAUCCAAGUUAUAUGCAUGUUUUUGUAAGUGGUUGACGUUUUUUUUUGUAAAUAGGUGUUUGACGUUUAUAAUUUCCAAUUGUUUAGAUUCGAUGACAUGUGAUAUGUUGUAAGAAAACAAAAAUGAUUACUCUUAUUGCUGAAUUUAUGUUUAAUAGGAAUCCAAGUUAUAUGCAUGUUUGUAUAAGUGAUUGACGUAUAUGAUCUUCCAGUGUUCAAUUUUGGAUGACAUAUGUUGUAAUUUGUAAAAAAAAAAAAGUUUUCACAUAAUACAUGUUAUUUGACCCCAAAACUGAACACAGAAAAAUAGUUUUGAGUUUUCAUGCAAGAUAUUAGAUUGGUAGCUGUACCUUAUCAAGCCGUAGAACUAGGCCCUAAAAGUUUCCAUAAAUAGCAUAAAUCGAUGCAUGCAAAACUUAUUGCAAGGAAAAAAAAGAUGAGGAUUUGGGUGGGGGCGAAUAGAAUAACUGACCAAAAAAUGGGUUGGUAUCGAUAUUAGGGAGGAAAUUAGUCCUCAAAAAGUAAAUUAUGAGGUUGAAGCUCCAAUGUAUUUGUUCCAAGACUUUGUUUAGAGGUAAAGCUAUGUUUUCUUGUAACCACCAAACCAAACAGCUCCUUCUCAUCUAUAAGUUAACUAACAUAUCUGUGCUGCCUUUUCUUUGACUUGUCUUUCUCUCUCCAACUUCCCUCCUUCAACAUAAAGCCAAAUUCUUUCCAAAUCUCCAAACUGAACCGACCUAUACCAAAACGUACUAAACAGAAUCCGGACUAUCGGAUAAUCCAACAACCAUAUGUUGAACUACCGCUUUACUUAACAACAUUCCAAUUGCUUGAUUCGACUACGUAAUCGAAUGGGUAUUUCUGAGUAAACCGGAAAACCCUGAAUAAACCGUAUUCUUUCAACCUGUAACAAACUUAGAAUAAACCGAAUUAGAUUGGUAUUAUUCUAUGCAAUUUUAUGAAAUAAUAUUUCAAAAUAGAUAAGCUUAAGCAUAUUAAUUGGAGCUUGAAGCAAUUGGAUAAAAAAGCAUUUGAACCUUAACUUUUGGACGCAACCCCCCCUCCCCACCACAACUUAUUCGCCUAUGGUUUUUAUAAUAUACUGACAUUCAAUCGUUACGGAGAUCCAAGGUUCAAAAAAAAUAUCAAUAUGUAAAAAUUCAAGAUUGCUUACACGAUCACAUGUUUCAUUAUUUUUCUUAGAAGUUAGAAUGGAAUUGAAUUUAUAAAACGAGAAGUAUCAAACAUUAUUCCCAUAUAUAUAACUAUGUAUUUUUCUAUGCAAUUUUAUGAAUAAUAUUUUAAAAUAUAUAAUUCAAACAUAUACAAAUACGAAUGAUAACUCUACCGUUGACAAUUACUUAAUUAAAUCUUAUACUAAUUCAAUUCUAUGUGUAAACAUAGAAUUCCGUGUCUACACUAUAACAUUUUAUUUCUAUUUGACCAAAUGGUUACUUUUUUUUUUCUGUCACAGACCAAAUGGUUACUUAAAUUUAGAAUAUUAUAAGACUAACCAAUGAAAUUUAAACCAUUUUACAAUCUCUAGCUAAGUGAAUCAUCAUAAUACUCAAACCCAUUAUAGGAUAGAGUUUCUUAUUCGUAGAUAUUCAGAGUGUGAACUGAGCACAUGUCAUAGAUAAGUGACAUUUGCUAUAAGCUAAUAUUUAGUUUAGACUUAAAGAGUAGUUGACAAAAACUACAACUUUGUUUUUAAGUUUUUUUUUCUUAACUAGUGGACCUUGAAUCUAGUGGACCCUAAAAGUGGAAGAAGUAAUUACAUUUCUACAUGUAUAUAUAUUUUUUAAAAAAAACUGAAAUGAAAACUUUAUGCAAGGAUGUCACGUAUAAACCGAACAAUGGUCAAAAUUUUCAUUCAAUAUAUAAAUUAUUAAAAAAUUUACGAAAAGAGUAUGGCUGACUUUAGAGAGCAGUAUAUAAGGGUAAGAGUAUGCAUCUAAUUAACUUAAAACAACAAAGACAAUUGGUCUACUUCUCAAAUUGAUCCAAAGACCAAAGAUUCCUAAAGCCACUUGAAACUAAAAAUGGCUCCACAAAAAUUCAUCAGAAAUGGCAUGACAAGUUUACCUCGGCUCGUAGAAGAGUAUCUCUCUAUGUUGAAGGAAACAUACGAAGGAACGGGAUUGCACCUAGCCACGCAACAAGGGGACGAGGUAUAUGCAAAGAAAAUAAUCGAGCUCUGCCCUUCCUUAGUCGGUUCCACCAAUUCCAAAGGUGACACUCCUCUUCAUGUUGCUGCUCGUUUGGGAUACACAAGCAUCUUUAUUGGGAUGUUAGAGUCCCUAAAAUUGCAUAACGCAUGCGAGCGAAAAACCAUAGAUGCAGAAAUGAUGAAUAAUGAUGGCUUAACACCUCUGCAUUGUGCGGCAAUGAAGGGUUCUGUUGAAAUCCUUGAGGAAUUUCUCAAUAGGGCUCCCUCUUCUUUCUACUCAGUCACAUUAGAAAAGAGAGAAACUGUGUUUCAUAUAGCUGCGAGACACAAGCAGAACGAAGCCUUCAUCUCAAUGGCAAAGAGUGACAACUUAGGCCAACUUCUCUACCAGCUUGACGUAGACGGCAACACUGUGCUUCACGUUGCCGCCUCCGUAGGCUCUAUUGCGGUAAAUUUUCUGCCUCCCUCUUCUUUCCUUUUUUUGUAUAUUGUGCCUAAUUAGACUCAAAAUGCAAAAUCUUAUAGGAAAUAUAUCUAAAACAUAGUUUUCUUUGUAUAAUAAUUUCAUUUAUCAACCUCAUCUAAAGAGCCAAAUUGCUUUCAGUUUUCCACCUUAAAUUUCACUUCUUUAAUACUACUUGGUAACUGCUUGAUUAUUUAAGGGAACUGCCGAAACACAAAAAUACAAAAGGGAAAAUGAUUGUUUAAUAAUAUAAAUAAGAAGGAAUACUAGCUAAAUGAUUUCAAAGUAAUACUUUCAUACAAAGCUAUAUACUCCAUAUGAUUUGAAAACUUAAAAUAUGAGGUUUUGUUGUUGGUUUCCUGAUUUGAUUAACAUAUUACAUUACAGCUGGUAAACUAUAUAAUGGUGGAGACAAACGUAAAAGUCACCACGAAGAACAAGAACGGUUUUGUAGCGGUUGACCUUCUCAACGAAGAGGAUAAAGAUUUCCUUAAGCUAUCUAACGCUCUGAUGUGCGGUCAACGCUCUUCAAGUCCUAGAGAGAUUGGAAACCAAACAAAAGCAGUGAUUCUUCAUCGUGCAGACGAUGACACGAUAAAGAAGCGCCAGAAGGAGAUUCUAAGAUUUCAAAGCAGUGAUACUCCAAACAAAAAAUUUGAGAUGCAAUUGGAGGCUUUGCAAAGCGCUAGGAAUACUCUCGCCAUUGUCGCGGUCUUGAUUGCAUCUGUUACUUUCACAUGUGGUUUAAACCCACCUGGUGGGGUCUAUCAAGAAGGAUCCUACAUUGGGAAAUCAACCGCGGGGAAAACCAUAGCUUUCAUGAUCUUCUGGAUAAGCAAUAGCAUCGCGUUGUUUACAUCAGUGAGUAUGGUCAUUCUUCUCGUCAGCAUUAUACCUUACAGGGAGGACUCGCUUUUAAAGUUCUUGGUUAUAGCUCACUGGAUGAUGUGGGUGGCUGUAGCAGCCAUGGCAAGUGCUUAUGUCUCCGCGGCAUUGGUUUACCUCAUUUUGGAGAAACCAAUUGGUUAAUCUAUGCCACUGUUGCUAUUGCUAGCUUGACGCUAGGCGGUAUGUUUAUUUAUCUACGGUUUAAUCUGGCUAAAUGCAUGUUUAGGAAGGUUACGCUUCUUAAAUGCUUGUCUACUCCGCCA